GAUGAACGCUAGCGGCAGGCCUAAUACAUGCAAGUCGGACGGGAUUCAGGAGCUUGCUUCUGAUGAGAGUGGCGCACGGGUGCGUAACACGUAUGUAACCUACCUUUAUCAGGGGGAUAGCCUCUCGAAAGAGAGAUUAAGCCCGCAUAAAAUCACAGCACAGCAUUGUGUAAUGAUCAAAUAUUUAUAGGGUAAAGAUGGGCAUGCGGAACAUUAGCUAGAUGGCGGGGUAACGGCCCACCAUGGCGACGAUGUUUAGGGGAUCUGAGAGGAUGGCCCCCCACACUGGUACUGAGACACGGACCAGACUCCUACGGGAGGCAGCAGUAAGGAAUAUUGGUCAAUGGGCGGAAGCCUGAACCAGCCAUGCCGCGUGCAGGAAGACGGCCCUACGGGUUGUAAACUGCUUUUAUACGGGAAUAAACCCAGAUACGUGUAUCUGGCUGAAUGUACUGUAAGAAUAAGGAUCGGCUAACUCCGUG
rnacentral:rRNA from 1 species